AAAACUCCUAACAUCAACUCGUAAUUAUAUAUAAAGAUUGGUAAAUAUUUUUUUAUUGUUACCUCGAAAAUAUCGUAAUAUUUCGAAGUAUGAUUCUUAGCAUCGUUAUUUAUAGAUGGUUAAAUAGUUAGGGUAUUGUAGAGAGUAUAUUCUUUGAAAUCUAUAAUUAAUAGACAUUAAAUAGUACGAUAUUAUGUAUUAGUUGUUAUGGAAAAUAUAGUAGAUUUGUUGAGUAGUUAACGGCAAUUAGUGAAAUCUAGCACAUAUGUUUGAUAUAUAUCGUUAGAAUAUUAGAAGUUGCAAGCCUCAAGCAAGAAAUCUAGAAAAAUCGUAUCUAUUGAGAUAUUUUGCUCCUAUAUACUUGAUUUUCAAGUUAAAAGAUAUUACAACUAAUUUGAUUUUAUGAUUAUACUUGCUUUUCGAGAAAAAUAUAUUUUUGACUUUGAUCACAAAUUUUGUAGCUGUUUCAAAACUACCGAUUGGUAUAGGUUUAUUUAGAAGAAAAAAAUGAAUUUUAUCACAAAACUUAUAAAUGGUUUUAAAUCUAGUAUGGGUAAGGAUUAAGAUAUGUAUAAUGUUGGUUUAACUGGUUAACCGACAGUAUAGUCACAUCAAAACCAAAAGAAAAAAAAAAUUUGAAUCAAACCUACGAUUGAUAUGGAUUUAUAAUGAAGAAAAUAUUAAUUUUGAAUUAGAUCACACAACUUGUAAGUGGUUUGAAAAUUAGAAUGGGUAAGAAUUAAGAUAUGUUUAAUGUUGGUAUAAUUGGUUAACCGGUAGUAUAGACACACCAAAGCCAAAAUAUGAAAAUAAUUCUAAUCAAACCAUAUUGCAAACAUCACGUACUUAACCAAAAUAUAAAAGAUAAUUUAAUUUAAAGAUAAAUUAUGGUGGUUUUGUAAACCGUAAUUAAAAGGGUACGGUUUUAGUAUUGCGUGGAUUAGUUAGCCAUAUAGUAAACCAGUUUUAUAUACUAAAUCUAAAAAUAAUUAAUAUAUUUAAAUAGAAAAAUCUAUUUCGGAUAUCUAAAAUAUUUUGGAUCGUGUUUAAUUUCGAUUUAUAAAUACCUCAAAUCUAAACCAGUUUGGAUGUUUAAUAAAAAAAAUCGGGUUCAAUAUUACUUUUUUUUUAUCGGAUUCUGUUUGUUUCUUUGGAUUUGGGUUUUUGUGUCAAAUAUAAAAACUAAUACCAUAAGCUUGAAUGCUUUAAAAAGAAAAGGAAAAGAAAAUGAGGAUUUUAUGGUAACAACAUAAUAAUUUAGUUGCCGUAGGUUUGAUUUAUUAAAAGUAAAUAAGCAUAGAUUGAUUAUGUGAAUUUGAGGAUAACUGAUUUGUGAAUUUAAAAUAAAAUAGAACACGUUUAUGGAUAUGUUUUAAUAGGUAAGAUUUACUUGAUUUAGUUAUGCUCAUCAUUUACUGUUAAAAUAUAUAUUUAAGAUACAUUAUGAGGAUUUUAUGGCUGAUUUAUAAACAAAUAUAAAAUGUUUAUGGCAUAUAAAUCGUUUUGUUUAGGUAUAUUCUUAUACUGUAACAGAUUUUUGUUUUUCAAAAUUGGUGGCUUAGGUUGUAUAUAUAUAUAUAUAUAUAUUUUUAGAAUCGGUUGUAUAGUCAACAUUAUUAUGAACCGGUUAGGUACGAUUGGGUUUUUUUUAAAUGAACUAAUAUGAAUUUAUGAUCAAUAUGAAUCAUGUAUUAGGAAAUCCAACACUUCAAUGUUAUGAUAGACUAAUUUAAAAAAAAAAAACAAAAUUUCAUAUUACAUUGAUUUGAGGUACUUGAGUAACUGGACUGGAAAGUAUUGAAAAACAAAAUUGAAUCCUCAUUCGUUUGUGAUGAACGAUAGAUCCAAAUUAGAGAUCACAACUUCUUAUUUGUUAGAAGUCAUGACACCAUAAGGAGUUCAUUUUAAGAUAACAGAGAUUUUUAAAAAAUUAAAGUGAUUCAUUUUAAUAAUGGUUCUGUAUAUAUUUAUUAGGUGAUUUAAUAUUUCUGUUAUAAUAUUUUCUUAAGGUGAUGAACUAUGGUCAUUAGAGAGCACGACAAGUUCAUAUGUGCUACAUAGUUUUGACAUAGUUAGGAGUUCACUCAUGAUUUGAUGACAUAUUUUAAUUUAUUUUAUGUGAUACUUGUAUCAUUUCAUAAAUUGAGCUGAUAUAUAUGAUAGAGUUGUUAUGAUAUUCGAUUGAUAUUAUAUUAAAUGAUCCAUUAAUGAUUAAAAAAUGUUAUUAAGAAAUAAAUGAAACAUCUAAAGGGUCCAUUUUUUAAAAUAUCACACAUGAAUCAAGGUUGUGACUUCUGUUUUAAUAUCUAACAAUACUAAAAGCACAAUAUACUUAAUGGUAAGGGUGUCCACAUCAGCCAAAUAUUCAGCACCAAUCAAAUUGACACAUCAGAAAAACAAUUGAUUUUUACAACUUUAUUGAAUUAAAUUUUUCUUAUCCCACGAAUCUCUUCGGUUCCUACCUGCAAUUUUACAACGGUUUCUUCCUCAUUUAGUUGCAUUAAUAAAUUCAAUGCUAUGACCUUACGACUCCAUUUUUCAACUCAUUCCCUAUUUGAUAUAAAUAUAGAGUGAUGGCGGUGAAGUUCAAUCCCUAAUCAUAUUUGUUGGGUAUCACCUAUUUAGAUUUUAAAUAUUUUUGUUUUCUUUUGAUCUUUUGAAGAAAUUUGUAGUUUUUGACACGAAAUUCCACUGUCUUUUUCACUCAGGUACUAGCUCCGUACGAAGUUGGUGGGUUCAACGAAAGCUUCACCCUUUCUGAAUAAAUGGCGACUCCUUUAGGCUCACUGCAGGAAAUUGGUUUGAAGGGCGUAUGAAUCAGAAACCGUGAAAUAAUAAAUGGGCUAUCAAUCAAAAUCUUUACAUCACCUUGGUGAGACUUUUUCUUUUAUUUGCUUCAAGGAUUUAAAAUUGUGAAAGCAUGUUUCGUGAAGCGGUGGACUCUCCUUUACAUGAUGUCUAUUCCAUUUGCUCAUAACUCUACAUCUAUUGUAUUCUUGGAAACAACGAAGGUCAAAAUAUUGGUGAAUGUGGAAGUUUGAUAAAAGAAAAAUUAGUUACAUCGUAUAGUUUGUGAUCUUCUUUUUGAUCUGACAUUUGUUGGUCAAACUCUUUCAUGGAAGCUCUUAUGUCUUUGGGGAAGAUAAUGGCACUGGAGGAGUCUUUCGCUGGAUGUUUAGCGGAAAGAUCCGUGAAAAGUCGUAUCUUCAACAUUCUUUGCAAUCAAUUAUGUAUUUUUAAAUCCUUAGCAGAUUUGACAUGCUUGUGUUUUGGGUUACUCUUACCUUUUUUGAGAGCCAUUGAUAAGCUUCUUACUCUGUUUUGUAUCUGCUUGGGUUCAGAGCAUAGUUGGAUUUAAUAUUUAUCUGGCAGUGACGGUGUGUUCUUGGCUGCGAUAAAUUUCUGGUUGUUUCUGUUGUACACUGAAUUUUACACCUGUGACUGUGAGUGUUUUGAUCUUGACAGGAAAAUUGAGAAAGUGUAGAAAUUCAGUUUGUGGAUUACAUCCGGUUAGUGUUUCCUUCUCUUCAGUUUAUCAGUUGACGUGAUCUACAUCUAAGUCAUGUAUCAAAUUCAUGUUUUCCUGUUCUCAUGUAUUGAGUGUUGAGGUUAGGAUGAUGAGCUACACCAACCAAAUCAGAAGGAGAGCUGAGGAGGCAGUUGAGGGCUCUCUACUGCAGCUUAACAAGACAAAGGAAGAGGUCAUCCUACUCAAAUUCUUCCUCCACCUUUGCCCCAAAUGUUUUGAAGGUCUGUAGAACUCUUCCGAGCCCCUGACACUUUGAUUCUUGUGCCUUUGUUUUAUUGAUGUGUUUUGUAAGAAUGUUAUCAGGAUUCGUGAUGGUUUGACACAGUUAUAUGCGAACGACACUGCUCUUACUGAUAAACAAGAACUCGAAUUUUCUUUAAUAGUAUAGUUCCCGAACCAAAUUAAGUUUGAAAUAUUGUAAAUAAUAGAUACAAGUCUGUUUCGAAAAGUCAGAAAUAAUUUGUCGUAGUUAUUGUGUAAUGUUUUUUCUACUAAUUCACGAACCUUGGAAAAGCAUUUUAAGGAUGACGGUUGCACGUACAAUCAAAUAAUUCACUAUGCAUAGUAAACACUAUAAGUUAAGAUUAUUGAAAAAGUAAAGGAAAUGUUACUCACAUCACAGAAAAUAACAAUCUGCAAAUGGUUCCAGAUGUAGCAAAUCAUAGAGGAUUCCGAAAAUAUAAAGGAGUUAGAGCACAAUGUCUAAGACACACGUUGCUUCUAACAUCGUUGCUUCUUUUUUUCCUUAAGACAAAUCGCUUUCUAAAAAUGCAGUUUGUGAUACAUACUUAAUAGCAAAGUGUCAUCUAGAAAAGAGACAAUGCUACUUCAAAUACACUGCUUCUAAGUGAACUAAUUUUUUGAACAAGUUUCAGGAAAUUUGAAAAACUACUCCAAAUACAAGACACAUUUAUAAAAAAAUACGAGAAUUUAUUGACUCUAUAAGUAGCAAACAGACAAUGUGAUUUGCAACAGGAUCCCAAGAGAAUGCUUUUUUUCCAACAGAGAGAAAAAAUAUUUUACUUAUCUCUGACUCAAAUUUGAUAAAUCCACAUAUAUUAUUAAAAAUCAGAAAAUAUGAAAUCAGAAGUUAAAAAAAUACUAAACGAUCCUACAUGAUAACUAAAUAGACAUCAACAUUAUAAGAAUA